CAUUCACUCCACAGUCCUACACAGCCCAGGACCUGUACACACUGCUGCAAGACAAGGUCUGGAUAGCACAACACGGACAACCUUCUUCUUUCUCAUUUUUUGACGGCAUCUGCUCAUUUGGAUUAUUUUCAUUGAAUUCAUUCAAAGACUAACUUCUACAUUUUUGUGCGCCCUGCUCCUGUUUUAAUAUCCCCACGAAAGCAGAGGAGUGUUUGACAUCUCAUUGUACUGGGCUGAAGUUUUUAAGCAUUUUUUUUUUCUUUUUCAAUAAGGUGAAGGACAAGUGCAAUGUGCGCCAGAAUUGUUUCUUGGAAUUGCCUCGCUUGCGCUUGAGGAGAUAUGUUGAACUGCGUUACAGGACUUGUUUAAGAGGACGCAGCCCAAUGUGAUUAAAACCAAAUCUUCUUCUAAGUCUUCUUAGUUCCAACCCAGUGCAGUAUCUGACCGAGCUGCUCUGACACCCCCCGUUUCUCUCCCUGAGGGGAUGGUUGUGGAUCCCGUGGGGCCAGGAGCGACUCUGGGGCUCCUACACAACACCACCUUUUUCGCGUUUGGGGUUAACUUUGAUUUAAAGGGAGAUGAGAGCCGCAGUUUGUUACUUCCUGCUGUGGACGACGUACCUGCUGGCCACCGCUGAGGAAGCGGAGUUCCCCCAGGAGCUGAUCGACCGACUCUCUCACAGUGAAAUCCGCAGCAUCAGCGACCUCCAGCGGCUACUGGAGAUUGACUCCUUUGGAGGUACGGGGAACGAUGUUAAUGAGGAGCCCAAGCACCACAAGCAUCACAACCACCAUAAGAACUUCUCUCGUCAUCAUGGUUACCACAAUGACCUGAAGCGCUCACAGCUGCACAGCCGCCGCAAGAGAAGCAUUGUCGAGGAGGCGGUCCCAGCAGCGUGUAAGACGCGAACGGUGAUCUACGAGAUCCCCAGGAGCCAGGUGGAUCCCACGUCUGCCAACUUCCUGAUAUGGCCUCCCUGUGUGGAGGUGAAGCGCUGCACGGGCUGCUGCAACACCAGCAACAUGUGUUGUCACCCGUCCCGCAAGCAUCACCGCAGCGUUAAGGUAGCUAAGGUGGAGUACGUGAAGAGAAGACCCAAGCUGAAAGAAGUCAUUGUACGGUUAGAAGACCACCUGGAGUGUGUGUGUACAUCACACCAUCAUGCAGCAGAGCACUCAGAUGCAGAAACAGGCCACCGUAGGGCUAAAGGUAAAAAAAGGAAACCUAAAAUGCAAAAGCCCAGCAAGGAAUUAUUGGUGACAUAAUAAAGUUGCUUUCAUUACUCAAAGUCCACUGGAAGGCUGUGAAGGGAACAGUGGAUGUGAGGUGAAACCAAUCAGGACAAGCGAUUUCAGCAUGGGCGGGACCUAAAAAAACAGAGGAUGCCAUCAACGGGACACCAGCUUGAUCCGCUUCCUCACUGCCAUGCUACCUUUGUUUAAGAAAAUAUACUUCUCUAGAAAGUCAGAAGACUGAAAAACAGACAACAGACAAAACAAAACAAAAAAACAACAAAAAAACAAACAAAAAAGAAUGAGUAAGAUGCCAAAGGUGCUUUUAAAAGAAAACAAAAAACAAUAAUCCAAGACAGUGACUGUGUCUGUCUCUGUGGUAUGCAACAUACCCAGACAACUGAACUCCUCUGCUGAUUUAGAAGAUGCCAUGGAGCGCCGGCAGUGCGAAGGACGCCGAUGGGACAAGGCAAAAGGGAUUCGUGUUCAACAUUUUUGAUGGACUUUAUUUUGAAAGACAUGCAACAAAAAUGGCUAUCGGACUCCUGAAUCACAUCUUGAUUGGAAGCCGGUGCUCUGGCUCAGCAUUAGUGCCCUGUCGUGCCUGAGUGACUCUUGCAUACAUAGGAAGAAAUCAAGAGCAAUAUAUAGGAAUAAUGGGGCAUCAAACAUUGUUAGUUAUGGGAUGUGUGCUCUCAUAAAAGAGUAAAUCCUCUCCAAGACCCCCGAUCCUCUGUGACUUUGCCUGCCUGCUAUGUACAGUUAAUCUUGGAAAGGAGGAUCCGCCGCUACUUACAAACUAUUUAUGCGUUUGGACUUUUGCUUUCUGUCUCUUUCAAUAUUAAAUAAGGAACAGAAAAGGUGUUUUUAUGUUUCUGCACACGUGCAAGUCUUCUGUGUGGUCCAGUUCUUUGUAUUCAUCAGUAUCACAAUUUCAGUGUCAAUUUUGUUGUUGUUUUUCCCGUCAACCAUGUUUCGUAUUAUAUUGCAGUAUAUCUAAUUGUUGUCAAAUCUUGCAUAUGGUUUGAAUAUACAGUAUGUGUGAAAGGAGGAGAUGUGAGACUCAGUACAGGAAGAUGCUUUAUUUUUGUUAUGAAAUAUAUUAUGCAUACUUAUA